rnacentral:lncRNA from 1 species
CACAGGCAGCUGACUGGGGGUUUGCCACCAACCCACACCUAAAACUCGUCGUAGUCUUGGAACUCCUGGAAGUCUCCUUCCACGGCUUCGCCUUCUCCUGAGCAGUGGUUACAAUGCGGGCAACCUGGUGUUUUGUGGUAAAGCAAGGAUGAGUACACAUCAACGUACUCAGCAAAUGUCCCGUUUGGCUGAAGUGGACUAGCUUUAUGUGGGGUUAGGCUCAAGCAGUUGCUUUUAGUUGGUCAGGUAUUUAUCAUUAGUAGAAGCCAGAUUUUAGCAUUAUCCAACCCGUAAACCAUUUCCUCAUCGAGGAACAACAUCAUCAUAGUCGAACCAUAACAUAAUCCUUGUAUCUCGAACCAUCUGUAUAUCUAAUCAAAGAGGAUCCCAAGGCUGCUCUUAACCGUGAGCACGGCUGAUAUAUCAAUUUCACUACCCUCUGCAGAGGUUGCACACUUUACCCAUGAGUCAUGAUUCCCUUUCUACCCGGGGAGAGCUAAUCCCCAUUGACCACUACCUAGGUGGUCCGGCAGGGCAUCACUACGUAGCUUUUACAAAGAUUCCCUAGAGAUCAUAGCUGCCCGUUAGGUUUCUCCAGUUUGAUAAACACAGUACCCCUCCCCGCAGGAGAGUGACUAACAAAGAGCAAAACGAAAGAACCUCGGCACUCAGCCUCGGCAGAGCAAGCACUGUGCCUGGACCCCAUUGACGGCACGACGGCUAAGCAACUACACCUCUAGUUCAUCUAAUUAAUCAGCUAAGGGCAUCCCAUUUCACCCUCAUGGUUGCACUGUUAUCCCGGGUGGUCUCUCAACGAACCAGUCCUUACGGAGAGGUACUCAGGAAACAGCCUGAGCCCCCUAGAGUAUCACAAGAUCAUCAACAUCAUCAGGAUAACAGUAUCAUAAAUAGUCACAUCAUGUUCAUUGAUUAUGUUAAAGCAAUAGCAAAGUGCUAACCAUAAUAGCCCAUAAGGUCAUCAAGGAUAAAGUAAAAUGUAAAGCUAGUCAAUCCUUAGGUUUCAAGUAAGUAGUGCGGGGUAGUAAGUUAUAAAUGAAUAGGACAUAAUGGGACAGAGGACACUUGCCUUCACCAAACUGCUGAUCAGGGACUUCCUCUGCAACUUCCUCGGGACACACAGACUGCUCGUUGUCUACGUAAAGUAAUCAUUCACACUAUGCACUUGGGAAGAUAACAAACAAAAGCAACAUACAAGACAUAUGCAGCAAAGAGAUCACAAGUUCAUAGCAGAAAAGGGAUAGGCACUCUGGUGUUCCCUAGGUCUGGGGUAGAGGACUAUACAAAGUGAUUCAUUAUCCACUAGUCAAGUUUAAGUCAGUGGUGGGAUUAAAUCAUUACCUGGUUUUAAGUUCCUAAACUUAGGUGUUUAAGUCCCUAAUCUUAAGUACUCCAACUUUUAUUAAAGUCUACCAAUUUCUAAUUGUCUCAAAUGGGGUUCCAAUAGCCUUAAUCCUAUCCUGGUGAUUAACUAUUAAUUGGUACAUGGAAACAGCAGGGAAACAUUGGUUAAAUAGAUAGACAAAAACAUCAUGAGCAUUUUGCAAUUUGAAGCACCUAAUUUGGAGUUCAUAUGACAAAGUUAUGAAUUUUACAAGUUUGGGGAUUAAAAAUAUACCCUAAAUACCUAUUUUGAAUUAAUUAAAAGGUCCAGGGACCUAACUGCGAGAAACCAGGGACGGCGGGUUCAAAUUCCAGAAAACCGGGGGUCUCUUUAAGAAAAUGCGCGGGCGAAGGGGUAUCGGGCUACUACGGCCGUCAGAUCUAAAGCGAACGGCCAGGAUUAGAUCCUGCGGGCGGGCGCGCGAGCGCGCGGCGGCCUGGGCGGCUGACAGGCGGGACCGGGCGGGCAGCGCGGGGCGCGCGGGCAAGCUGACAGGCGGGGCCGGCGGGCAGAGCGAGCGCGCGGGCGGGCUGACAGGCGGGGCCCAAACGGCAGGGAGACGGGGUGUGGGGGAAGCGGGCCUGGGCCGCUGGAUCUCCGGCGGACGGCCAGGAUUAGGCUUGACCUAAUUAAAAUGGGACCGCCCGAUCUGGGACGGACGGUGGGGAUCGGGUGGCCGGCCUGGGCUUCUCCUACGGCUAGCUGGGGCGGCGGCGCUCGUCCCCGCGGCGGAGGACUCGCCGGAGACGAGGGGCGCGGGCGUUUGGCGGGCCUCCGAGGCGACCUGAGCGGCCGGGAAGGUUGGGGAGGGCACGGGGAAUCCUCUGGUGGGGUCUGGGUCGGGGCAGGGGCACCGGAGGGGGGCGGUUCACGGCGGAGCGGCUCGGCGGCGGGGUUACUCUACUCCGGCGAGGAAUUAAACGCGGCAAAAGGCAAUACACGGGUCGAUAGGGGCGGGAGAGGUCCCUUACCUCAAGGCGGGCUCCGGGGACUCCUCGGCGGCGGGAAUGGCGCGACGGUGGCCCGGGGCGACGGUGGCGGACCUCCGCGGCUGCACGGGGAGCGGCGGGUGAGCGCGGGCAGAGAGAAAUAGGGAGGGGGAAAGGGAAUUGAGGCGCGUCCCGGGUUGCAGACACCGGGGCGAAGCUCACCGUGGCAACGGACACGGCGGAGCUCCAACGGCGGCCGAGAAACGGGCUCGGGACGGCGGGGAUUCGUGGCGGCGGCGCUCUGGCGUGCGCGCAGCGAGGGAGAGGUGGAAGAGGGGUCCGCUAGAGCGCAAAUGGGGGAGGGGGCGAGGGCGAGUGGGGUUCGGGGCUCAAGUGGCCAGGGGCUGGUCAGUUGCGAGCUCCACGCGCGACGUGGGCGCGGAGAAAGCGGGCGCGCGCAGCUCGGCGGCGGUUACGCGGGGACGACGGGGCUGACAGCCCGGGCCCGCGAGCAGAGAGAGAGGGGAGAGCGGAGGCGGGCGCGCGAGAGGCGGCUGCGCUGACGGGCGGGCCCGCCAGGGCAGAGAGAGCGGGGGGAGAGGCGCGCGCGCGGGAUGGGCCGGCUGGGCCGAAAGGCCGAGGGGGCGGCGGGGUUGGGCCUCUUUCUCUUUUCUUUUUAUUCUGGAAUUGUUUUCUCUUUUUCUUUUUAUUUUCUCUAUUUGAUUCAAAUUCAAAUGAGCCACAAAUUCAAAUCAAACUUUCCAAGAAUUAUGCACCAAGCAAAAGUGAAACCUAGAGUUCAACAUGAUGCAACAAUUCAUACUCCCUUAGGGUUUAACAUAUUAAACUAUUAUUACAAAUAAAAUAAGCACUUUUCUCCUAUAGAAAUGAGAAAGAAAAGAAUGAGGAAUGAUGAGAAAAGGGAAGUAACACCUGAAUUUGUGAAUAUGAGCAAAGAAAUUUUAUACCCCCAAAUUCAGGGUGUUACAAACCUAUCCCCCUUAAAAGAAUCUCGCCCCGAGAUUCAAGGUUGGUCAGCAAAGAGUUCAGGGUAUUUGGCCUUCAGAUCAUCUUCUCGUUCCUAGGUUGCUUCUUCCUCCGAGUGGUGACCCCAUCUGACUUUGCACAUUCUGAUGGUAUUCCUCCGGGUGACUCUGUCUGCAAACUCCAGAAUCUGCGUUGGCUUCUCUAUGUAUGUCAGAUCCUCCUGGACCUCCAAACCCUCCACUGGCAACUGUUCUUCUGGUACUCGCAGACACUUCUUCAAUUGCGACACAUGGAACACAUGGUGCACUGCUGACAAGCUCUCUGGUAGGUCGAGCUGGUAGGCCACUUCUCCACGCUUUGCUUGAAUCUGAUAUGGUCCAAUGUACCGAGGUGCUAACUUGCCUUUAACUCCGAACCUUCUGACUCCCCUGAUAGGUGACACCUUCAGAUAGACGUAGUCUCCCACUUCAAAGCUCAGUUCCCUUCUCCUUCUGUCAGCAUAGCUUCGCUGUCUUGACUGGGCUGUCUUCAGGUUCUCCCGAACCAUUUUGAUAUUCUCUUCGGCUUCAAGCAAGAUAUCGGGGCCAAACACCUGUCUCUCUCCAGGCUGGUCCCAAUGCAACGGAGUCCUGCAACUCCGCCCAUAGAGUGCCUGAAACGGUGACAUCUUCAAGCUGGCUUGAUAACUAUUGUUGUAGGAGAAUUCCGCAUAAGGUAACCUUUUGUCCCAUCUUGACUUGUCUUGCAACGCACAGGCUCUCAACAUAUCUUCAAGGAUCUGGUUAGUUCUUUCAGUCUGGCCGUCUGUCUGCGGGUGAUAAGCUGAGCUGAAGUUCAAAUGGGUGCCCAAAGCUUCUUGUAGCUGCUGCCAAAAAUGAGAGGUGAACUGCGUUCCUCGAUCUGACACUAUCUUCUUCGGCACACCAUGAAGGCAGACUAUUCGUGACAUGUAUAACUCAGCUAACGUUGCUCCGGUGUAUGUUGUCUUCACAGGUAUGAAAUGGGCCACCUUUGUUAAGCGGUCCACAACCACCCAGAUGGAAUCAUAACCGGCCCGGGUACGAGGUAGGCCAACUAUAAAAUCCAUCCCGAUCUCAUCCCACUUCCACUGAGGAAUCCGCAAUGGCUGCAACAAUCUGGCAGGCCUCUGAUGCUCUGCUUUGGUUCUCUGACAGCUAUCGCAGAUGGCGACAUAUUCUGCGAUCUCUCUUUUCAUGCCAUACCACCAAAACCUCCUUUUUAAAUCCUGGUACAUCUUCUCACUUCCAGGGUGUAUGGAGUAGGCUGUCUCAUGAGCUUCCUUGAGGAUCAGUUCCCGAAUAGGUUUGAGGUCGGGAACACACAAUCGGUCCUUGAACCAUAUUACUCCCUCUUCAUCCUCUCGAAAGUCUUUGCCUCUUCCUUCUAAGAUCAGCUGCCGGAUCUUGUUGAUGUUUUCAUCAUCCUUCUGCCCUUCUUUGAUCUCCCGCUCUAGGGUGGGCUCUAAUUCCACUGUUACUCCUUGCGUACUGUUCAGGAAUCCGAGGCUCAGUCUGUCGAAUUCUUUGGCUAACUUAUACGGCAUCGGGUACGAGGCCAACAUAUUGACUUGACUCUUCCUGCUCAGAGCAUCUGCAACAACAUUGGCUUUGCCUGGAUGGUAAUGUAUCUCCAACUCAUAGUCUUUGAUCAAUUCCAACCAUCUUCGCUGCCUCAUGUUUAGCUCUGACUGAGUGAAUAUGUACUUCAGACUUUUAUGAUCCGUGUAGAUGUCGCACUUCUGCCCAUACAGGUAAUGUCUCCAGGUCUUUAAGGCAUGAACCACUGCUGCCAACUCCAGGUCAUGUGUGGGGUAAUUUUUCUCAUGGAUCUUCAGCUGUCGAGAUGAGUAUGCUACCACUCUUCCUUCUUGCAUUAGCACACAUCCCAAUCCGGUGUACGAAGCAUCGCAAUACACUGAGAAUGGCUUGUGAACAUCAGGCAGGACUAACACAGGAGCUGUAGUCAAUCUAUUCUUCAGUUCUUCAAAUGCUUCCUGACACUUUUGGGUCCACUUAAACUCGACUUUCUUUGCUAGUAACGCUGUCAUUGGUCGAGCAAUCUUUGAGAAGCCUUCAAUGAAACGCCUAUAAUACCCAGCCAUUCCAAUGAAGCUCUUGAUCCCACGAACAUCCUUUGGUGCUUUCCAGUCCAGGAUAUCUGCUACUUUCUUUGGAUCCACUGCUAACCCAUCUUGGUUUAUGAUGUGUCCCAGAAAUAAGACUUCAUGAAUCCAGAACUCGCAUUUGCCCAGCUUGGCAUACAACUAAUGCUCUCGAAGUCUUUGCAAUACCAUCUUCAAAUGCUCUACAUGAUCUUCCUCACUUUGAGAGUAUAUGAGAAUGUCAUCGAUGAAUACUACCACAAACUUGUCCAGAUAAUCCAUGAACACACUGUUCAUCAGGUACAUAAAGAAGGCUGGCGCAUUUGUCAAACCAAAGGACAUAACUGUGAACUCAUAUAACCCGUACUUGGUGAUGAAUGUCGUCUUCGGUAUAUCCGAGGGUCGGAUUCUGAGCUGAUGGUAACCUGAUCUCAGAUCUAUCUUCGAGAAUACGCUGGCACCUCUGAGCUGGUCGAACAAAUCUUCUAUCCUUGGCAGGGGGUACUUGUUCUUGACAGUGACUUCAUUCAAGGCUCUGUUGUGGCAGAACCUCCCAAGUUAUUGGGCCCACAUGCACCUGUCCUUGUCUCAAAGACCUCAGACAGCUAUGCAUGUGCACCAGAUAACUUAACAGGAUCCGUCCGAUUGCCCCACGGACACCGGAUAAACCACUUACAACCAGAACCGCGGGAUUAAGUAAUACAAAUCACACACAUCAAUAUUUUGCAGCGGAAAUCUUAUUACCAAAUUUUACAAGUUACAAAAAUUUUACUUCGUACAUGAUCAGAGUGAUUACUACAUUGAUUCAAAGAAAGAAACUUUGAACGGUUAUAAAUUAUUUAUAGUUUUGAAAUAUAUAUGCUAGCUCAAGUGACCAUCCUCAAUAAGAAGAUAAAGGCGGGGUAUACUUAUAUAAGAAGGCCGAGCCCACCGGCACUUAACACCAUCAACAGCAGCACAAAAACUAUAGCCUGAAAAACAACAGGGAAUAAAACCCUGAGUAUGGAAUUACUCAGCAAGUCUUACCCGACUAAGGAAAAGACUCUCAAGGAUAUGCUGGAUUUGGGAAUCAAGGAGAGGCUUUAGCAAGAAUCAACUUAGAUACUUUUGCAGAAAUAGCUUACUAAAGUGAGUCCUUACUUUCAAUAUUUUAACGCCAGAUUAAAUAUUUAAUAGACUCUGUUUGCAUCUAGUCUAAUUUCAUCAUCUCAUCAAUACAACAUCAUUUUUAUCCAUAGUGUUCACAUCUUGACUUAGGUUGUAGGUCAGAGCUCAAGUCUCCACUCUCCGGGGAUAUAACGGCGAUCCGAAUCGAUUUACUCAGCUGAGGAUCUCUAACCACACGACAUAUGUUUCUCGUAAACCUUGAUGUCUACUAUUCCCACGGAUCCUCCACUGCAUGAACAGGUCCGCGCCACCCGAGAGUACACCACCCCUUUUAGGCGAUCCGUUGCUAGGAGGGUACGUGCCACUCUCGCCAUCUCUCCACGCCCAGUGCGCGAUUGUCUUUUCAUGUAUGGAAUAGCCGGGUUCAAGCUUACCCUGUCCCAUUCUCAGGGCAUGUGGCUAGAUAAGAUAGUCCUUGAUCAACAGGCCUACAUACGCAUCCAAUCCUUAAUUGACCCGGGCGGAGCAUCACCUGUUCCUAGCCCAAGUCUCGAUUUAAGUACUUCCAUCCUUAGGAUUGUUUCUGUUCCUUAGGAUGAAAAGAGCAUCACAGGGAACUUUGCAGUAAGAUCCCACCAUUGCUCCAAAUGAAAAUAUUCUUGCAGGUAGAAGUCAUCCUCUCCCGGGUUAAAUUGAGGACAACCUCUAUCCACAAGAUCUAAGCAAGGCUAAGCAUUUUUGUAAAUCAUAUUUUGAUACUUCACAGAAGUAUCUAUAAAGGUAUGGAUAUCAAGGAAAGCAAUGCAUCAAAGGGUUCCAAGCAACUCCUAUGAACCUAAUGCACAUUUCACUAGACUUAAAGUGUGCGAAAAGUAUUUAAAACACAAGGAAAGGGGUUGCGUGCACCGGGGCUUGCCUGGGUAACACUAGAUUAGUGUUUGUUAGGCGAUGUCCGCUUGACGAGUAUCCCUCGACCGAGUACUUGCUUGAUUUAACCAUCUUCAGGUUGGUCCAUCAGCUUCAUCCUGCGGAUUAGCCCAUGCUUGGGGUCGACUUGGGUCUUCUUCCGCAUCACGCGAUUAAUUAUCGUACCUCAUGAGAUGCACGAUGCAUAUGUAUGAGCACGAGUAUACAUAGUAUGAGAUAGAUAAUCUACGCUAAAAAGGAUGAAACAUUUAAAACCAAGCAUUAAGCAUCAUGGAUAUCAUAGCAGAGCAUCGACUACAUCCAUUAACCAAAUUGACAUAUUACACUAGAUCUAUUUUUAUUCCUAGCUUUUUAUUAACUCUUUAAACUAUGUAUCUUAAUUACUUGAUUUACCGAUUUACCUAAAUCGAUUAUCACAAUAUAGGCAUGCUAAAUUAGUAAAUUACUAACAUUUAUUGUGACCACAAUUCUAUUUAUAGACCUAGUUUAGAUCAUUCAUUAAUCCACUCGCACGAAUAAUAAAUUUGCUUACCCUAUCUAAUUUGACGCGAUAGUCGCAAGCACGACUACGAGUUCUGGCUGACGCCGUUGAUCAUACACGUUCGGCGAGCGAGGCACACAGUUUCCAUUCUUGACCGAAUAUCCGUGGGAUUCUUUUUUUUGUCGAGCUGGUGACGUGUGGCCAAUACUAGAGCGUCUUCACGGCUUGGGGACUUGGCGUAGACGAGGAUGACGAUCGACGACCUCGACGUGUCAGCGCGACGAUUUCCAUAUGGCGAAGAAGACGGAGUAGCCACUCCUGAAUUAGGCUUUAUGGUCGAGCGUCUGACGAGUGUCGCACGAGCCUUGCUGUUCCACCAUUGGAUCUGACUGAAAACUGACCGACUUCCCAUCUCCUCGCCACCCGACGUCAUGACGGAUUCAUAGCGCAGGAUCGCACCCGAUUCUGCAACUCACGCGUCAGCUUGCGCGUGUGCUGUCAACAGGCUUGGGACCUCCGUCGAGCACACGAUGCACGAAGCGCGACAUCAACAAUAAGCGGUUUUUGUGACAUCACGCAGGGAAACUCUGAGCUGUGGCCAGCGCGUAGAAAGCAAAGCGCGGGCAUGGAUUGGGCGCAGGAAGAACAGAGACCGAACUCAGCGAGCUGCGCGCAGACACGCGACGACCAUGGCAAGGGAGCAGAGAAAAUUGUGCGGACGGCUGGAACAGAGACGGCGAGCACGCGCGCACAAAAAGCAGGGCGCGCAGAGGACAGGGAACUGCGACGACGAAACGCCAUAGCUGGAGCAAGAGCGGGACGCGAACUAGGCGACGGCAGCGCGCAAGGACGAUCUUGGCUAGGGGAAAAACUCCGCGCGCAGGGAUCCGAGCUGAAAGGAGCCGAGGAAGAUGGACGCCAUGGGAAGAGGAAGAAGCAGCUGGGCACACUGCGGCUUGGAACCGAUCUUAGAAACGGCGACUGGCACGGACGGGAGGAGUUCGCGGACAAGGAAGUUCCAGCAGGCAGAGAGGCACCGCGGCCACCAUGGGGAACGAGCCAGAGCUGCGCGCGCGCGCAAGAAAAUCGCUCGGCAGAAAGGACGGACAGGGAGCUCCAAGCACCGAACUGCAGCCGGAACCAGAGGCACUGCGAGCAGGUAGACCUGGGAGGGACCUCGCUGGCUGAACGAGCUGGAAGAGAGAAGCAAGGGGAGGGCGCAGGGAAAGAAGAAGCGCUCGGCGCAGGGAGCUGGGCGCCAGAGCAGGAGGCUUCAGGGUGCGGCGCAGGGACACGCGCGGUCAAGCGAACUUGAGUUGGAGCCAGGGAGCAGGAAAUCAGGGCGACGGCGCGUGCACAGAGAAGCGACCGCGCCAUGGGCGUUCGCGGGCGGACGAACUAAGAAGCUUGAGGGAGCUAGGCGAGCUGCACGGGAGGAGCACGCAGGGAGGUACGCCGGCGAGGGAGCAGGAGAGAGAAGGGAGUGGCUGCGCGCGGCGAGGAAGCUCUAGAGAACUGCCAUGGGAGCUCAGCAGAGAGGAAACACAGGGGAUGGGAGAUGCGCUGGCAUGGGAGGAAACUGGGGGUCGCGGCAUGGGUGAUCUGGAACAAGCGAGCAGAGGGGCGUGGUCCGAGCGCCGGGCGCCGGGCGGAGUCGAGGGCGUGACCCAGGGCGAGCGCCGGCUGGAAGAAGAGCAGCGCGCACUGGAAAUAACGACGGCCGGGCGGUGGGAUUUUUCUUCACACGUUGAGCGGCACGGCCAGGAAGAUCAGCGAUCGGCGGUGGGAGAUAAGCUCCAUGGCUGAAUCCAGAGCACGCUGGAGAUUCACGGCUGAAGAUUGAAGCCUACGGGAGAGAGACGCGUGGCUGGCGAUGGGGAUAGAGAUCGAGCAGAGAAGAUGCCGACCACCCAAGCCGGCGUUAAUAAAUUGCCCAUUGCAGAUAAGAACAUGGAGAGAGACUGAGAGAGAGGAUAAGGAGAGGGAGGAGAGAUGUACGUAGGAGAUAUUUGCACAAGAGCUGGACGUUUAAGCGGUGGAAUGAAAUCAGCUAGGAAAAAUUGGAAUUUCCUUUCAUCUACUUAAAAAUAAUCAAAAUGUAGAUAUUUGGUUGGCUCAAACAUUAAGGUCUAAAAGAUGUAUAAAUGAGUUGAGCCAAAACAAGAUCCACAAAAAUAUUUAGACAGGAUUUAAUGAAUACUUCGGAGUCAGAUUAAUUCGUAUCCAUUAUUUCUAUUUGAAGAAAAUUAGAUCGAGACAAGAAACGCACGGACCGGAUCAAAUUGAUUUCGGCUUCGACAAAUUUAGACUGUGCUUGAUUUAAUUUAGGACAGAUAAUUUACUAGACGAAUAAAUUUCAAUUAUAAAUCCUCGGAUGAGCUGUCUCGGUUGACGAGUGGGAACAAAAUUAUUUGCACCGAAAACCUUAGUCGUCGAGUUUGAAUUAAUUUGCCCGGGAUAAAAAUCAUCCGAGUGAGUCGAGCUUCCGAAUUCGUGUUCGCGAGCGAUGAAUUUUAAAUAAUCACCGGACGCACCGAUUUUCAGAACAAAUAUGUUCCGAACAGCAAGAAAAUUCAGGAAGAGCCCGGACAAAUAAAAAUAAUAACGAUGUCGCACUCGCGACAAACGAAGCAGAUGCGAUAUUAAAAUCGUGAUAGGCAAAAAUAAUUAGACCUUAGUGUCCAUCUUAUUUACUGAUAUCACGUGCUUAAAUCCGUACUCGCUGUCGAGCGGACGAUAAACACCAGGGUGUUACAGUCCUCCCCCCUUAAAAGAAUCUCGUCCCGAGAUUCGGAGCGAAAGACUUCUAAGGGUAGAGAAGUAUGUAACCCUUGUUCAUAUCAGCGAUAAUUAUAAGGCAGUUCCAAGCAAGGACGAGUGUCUCAGAAUGUUGUUUCUCUAAUGGACAUAUCAUGUAUCGCCUUAAGCCAAUUUAGAAAUGUCCACCAAUGGAGACGCUGUCUGCCAGAAGAACACAUAAGGUUCCAUGUGUGCAGUUUGCUUUUUUUUUAUGACACUGUACUAUCUGAGUCUGUUGAGCGAGCGGCAAAUACACGAUUUUACCCAAACAGAAUCAGAUACACCAUCUUGGGUAAAACACACAGAAAGAGGUUUACCAACAAGUGGUUACAGUAAACUCAUAGCACACGUGACGGCUGUGAAUGUCGAAUAACAUCACAGUUAACUCGUGUUAGCCAAAGAAUCCAAGUCCCUGAAAGGUGAUAUAGAUUCGAGAACAUCACCAGCAAAGGGGUCUGUAGAUACGGACUUUACAACUAGUCCAUUUUAUCAAGCACUAGGCAUGACUCGACCUGGUCAUACAUGCUAGAAAAGCACACGUGAGGCGAUCGAGACACGACUAGAGCGAUGGCUAGGUGGUUAUUGGUCGCCUUAAUCUUGAUUUUUAUAAGUACUUCCUCAGUAUGGGUUGAACCAAAAUGAGUUCAGGCAAAUCGAUAAAACGAUCUCUAAACUCAAUCUUUGUUCAUUGAGCAGUUACAAGUUAGUAAAACCAACUUGUUGAACUACUUUUGACAUUGAGCAAGUCCUCUCAGUACCAUCGGUAAGCCAACGGUCGAGAGCUCACUCAUACUAACAGUUGAUCAUGCACUUGGGCAGAAAUCUAUUUGGUCAUGUUGUUCAUCCGUUUCUUCAUGUGAGAUGAAUUAUCCGCUUGGUUAGGGAAUACUUGGAUUAAAUAAGAGAGCGAAUGAACAAACUCCUGCAUCACAACAGCAGGGAAAAUCAAUCUUCAUUUUGAGAGCUAAUCAGUUGUCUCUCGACAUUAAAAAGCUCCAAGGCUCCACCUUUACACAAAGGAUGUAAAGGGAACUUGUAUGAGUAGUCACUACCAAGAUCAAAAGAAAUAAGACCACACAUGAAAGUGGUAUGCCCUUUUGAUCCAACAGAGAUGACAGAUGUUGCUUGAUCUCUUCACAAACAACAUAGAAAUUGUUUCAAGGAAGAAGCCUACGGAAGAUAACAUAUUGAUAUAAUCUCAUAAUGGAUUACGACUAUUAACUGUGAUACCAACGCGUGCCGAGUAGCACAACCAUGUGUGAGCACCCACCGAAGGCCCUCGGUUUCAGCGUGGUAUCACCGAUUUUAGUCAUAACACCAUUACCAGACAUAACCAAUAAGAAAUCUCACGUGACACCAAUAGAUUGGUCAAGGAUGACAAGGUACAAAAGAGACUCCACCUGUAGAAUGAUUACAAGUAGAGAUCCAAAUAGAUCAUGGCCCAAGGAAGUGAACAAGGCAUGGCCAUAACCUAAACUUGAUGAGAGAAGUACGAUGGGAGAUUGUUAAUUCAGCCCCAAGCAUAUUUCUAUGCCCAUCGCAGAGAUCACAAGGUCAAGGAUCAGUAUCUGACUAGAUACAGGGGAAAACAAUCAUAAGAUUAAGUUGGUAUGCCUUCGAUAGAUAUGGGAAACCAAAGGCAUCAAAUUCUAGAAAAAUGGUUGGACAUGUCUUUCCUAGGUUGGGUUGACAAAGCAACAUGGCGAUCCGCAAGGAGAGGCCAAAUAUAAUGGAGACCUCAACCUGCAUCAACUGAACAAGGGAAUGGUUCUAGAAGGAGACAUGACUUGAGAUUUUUUUUAAGCUUGGGUACACUUUAUGUCCAACAAAGAAAUUAUCAAGCAUUUAUUUGUAUGGGCUUGGUCACAGAGUGAUAAUGGUAAAUUCAAAUUUGGGUCUCGGUUCACCAACUAAGAACAUGGCCUAAUUUUGGGUUUAAGCAACCAAACUACUAACCCUCUAUCGGCACAUCAACAAAAGAGCACACAUAGAGCACUCUAAGAGGUCACCUAAAGAAUGGAGGACACCUAUUUCAUCGAAGUUCAUAAUUUAGCAUUACACCAUAUUAUCUACAAUCAAUGGUUACUGGAAUAAAGACGAGAGAAGCAUUUUGGGUGUAUAGGUGACAAACAUAAUGCAACAAUCAAGAUGCAUGCUCGUCUUAUCCGUCCUCACUGAGUUUUUGCCAACAUAAUGUGGCAAUAGCGUUCUAUAUCGGUGGCAUAUGUACGAUUCUCACGGUAUUUUGCUAGUCGUCAACUACACAUACGUUUUCGAGGUUAGUGUACCUGCAGAAAAAUCCAUCACAACCCAAUUCCCAAUGAUGCAGUUCACACAUGACAGUUUAUCAUAGUUUAUACUCCAUAUAUUGCUAUAUGGAGGCCAGCUCAUCAUUAAGCGCCGAGCCACGCAUAGGCGCCAUUGCCACACUUUAACCAUAGGGCAACCCAUUAUGGUAACUCACCUUCUUACCUGAACGUAGGUGCGUCGUUACAAGUACAUUACACUUCUCAGUAUUCCCAUGUCUGUAUACCCAUACACAUCCAUGGGGUACCGAAUUCCCAGAAAAGUAAUUACUCCACCUCGCAACCUUCAUAUAUACAUAUAUAAAACAUGUAUAUAAUCAAGCGCUACAAUUAAGCACUUCCCUAGACCGACGUUUGUUCGGUCUUGCUCUCACAUCUCACCUUACCUUGGGCGUCGAUCCAUUCAAAACUGAAUGGCCUUAAAAAUAACAAUACACAUGUAUGCAAUACCCACCCGGUUGUGGGUUAGUGGUUUUCAAAUAAGCCACCUGAUAGUCCUUAGUUUUAGGGCUUAAAAGAGGAUGUCGCUAGCAUUAUAGUUUUUUUUAAAACUGUUUUUCAAAGCCAAACAAUGUGUUUAACUAAAAAUAGGUUUUUCGAAACCAAAACUUUUGUUUUGAAAAUACGUAUGUGACCGUAUAUACUUAAUCCAGCUCCGAUACCAGCUGUGGCAGAACCUCCCAAGUUAUUGGGCCCACAUGCACCUGUCCUUGUCUCAAAGACCUCAGACAGCUAUGCAUGUGCACCAGAUAACUUAACAGGAUCCGUCCGAUUGCCCCACGGACACCGGAUAAACCACUUACAACCAGAACCGCGGGAUUAAGUAAUACAAAUCACACACAUCAAUAUUUUGCAGCGGAAAUCUUAUUACCAAAUUUUACAAGUUACAAAAAUUUUACUUCGUACAUGAUCAGAGUGAUUACUACAUUGAUUCAAAGAAAGAAACUUUGAACGGUUAUAAAUUAUUUAUAGUUUUGAAAUAUAUAUGCUAGCUCAAGUGACCAUCCUCAAUAAGAAGAUAAAGGCGGGGUAUACUUAUAUAAGAAGGCCGAGCCCACCGGCACUUAACACCAUCAACAGCAGCACAAAAACUAUAACCUAAAAAACAACAGGGAAUAAAACCCUGAGUAUGGAAUUACUCAGCAAGUCUUACCCGACUAAGGAAAAGACUCUCAAGGAUAUGCUGGAUUUGGGAAUCAAGGAGAGGCUUUAGCAAGAAUCAACUUAGAUACUUUUGCAGAAAUAGCUUACUAAAGUGAGUCCUUACUUUCAAUAUUUUAACGCCAGAUUAAAUAUUUAAUAGACUCUGUUUGCAUCUAGUCUAAUUUCAUCAUCUCAUCAAUACAACAUCAUUUUUAUCCAUAGUGUUCACAUCUUGACUUAGGUUGUAGGUCAGAGCUCAAGUCUCCACUCUCCGGGGAUAUAACGGCGAUCCGAAUCGAUUUACUCAGCUGAGGAUCUCUAACCACACGACAUAUGUUUCUCGUAAACCUUGAUGUCUACUAUUCCCACGGAUCCUCCACUGCAUGAACAGGUCCGCGCCACCCGAGAGUACACCACCCCUUUUAGGCGAUCCGUUGCCAGGAGGGUACGUGCCACUCUCGCCAUCUCUCCACGCCCAGUGCGCGAUUGUCUUUUCAUGUAUGGAAUAGCCGGGUUCAAGCUUACCAUGUCCCAUUCUCAGGGCAUGUGGCUAGAUAAGAUAGUCCUUGAUCAACAGGCCUACAUACGCAUCCAAUCCUUAAUUGUCCCGGGCGGAGCAUCACCUGUUCCUAGCCCAAGUCUCGAUUUAAGUACUUCCAUCCUUAGGAUUGUUUCUGUUCCUUAGGAUGAAAAGAGCAUCACAGGGAACUUUGCAGUAAGAUCCCACCAUUGCUCCAAAUGAAAAUAUUCUUGCAGGUAGAAGUCAUCCUCUCCCGGGUUAAAUUGAGGACAACCUCUAUCCACAAGAUCUAAGCAAGGCUAAGCAUUUUUGUAAAUCAUAUUUUGAUACUUCACAGAAGUAUCUAUAAAGGUAUGGAUAUCAAGGAAAGCAAUGCAUCAAAGGGUUCCAAGCAACUCCUAUGAACCUAAUGCACAUUUCACUAGACUUAAAGUGUGCGAAAAGUAUUUAAAACACAAGGAAAGAGGUUGCGUGCACCGGGGCUUGCCUGGGUAACACUAGAUUAGUGUUUGUUAGGCGAUGUCCGCUUGACGAGUAUCCCUCGACCGAGUACUUGCUUGAUUUAACCAUCUUCAGGUUGGUCCAUCAGCUUCAUCCUGCGGAUUAGCCCAUGCUUGGGGUCGACUUGGGUCUUCUUCCGCAUCACGCGAUUAAUUAUCGUACCUCAUGAGAUGCACGAUGCAUAUGUAUGAGCACGAGUAUACAUAGUAUGAGAUAGAUAAUCUACGCUAAAAAGGAUGAAAUAUUUAAAACCAAGCAUUAAGCAUCAUGGAUAUCAUAGCAGAGCAUCGACUACAUCCAUUAACCAAAUUGACAUAUUACACUAGAUCUAUUUUUAUUCCUAGCUUUUUAUUAACUCUUUAAACUAUGUAUCUUAAUUACUUGAUUUACCGAUUUACCUAAAUCGAUUAUCACAAUAUAGGCAUGCUAAAUUAGUAAAUUACUAACAUUUAUUGUGACCACAAUUCUAUUUAUAGACCUAGUUUAGAUCAUUCAUUAAUCCACUCGCACGAA